UACUACCGAAGCUACGGCAUCAGUAAUGAUGGGUAGGGGAGCUUCCCAUACGGGUUGAAGCAUGACCGUAAGGACAUGUGGACAGUAUGAGAGUGAGAAUGUUGGCUUGAGUAGCGAGAUGUGGGUGAGAAUCUCACAGGCCGUGAACCUAAGGUUUUCAGGGGAAGGUUCGACAGCCCUGGGUUAGUCGGGACCUAAGCUGAGGACGAAAGGCGGAGGGAAUAGACAACAGGAUAAUAUUACUGUACUACCUAUAAACGUUGGAGAGUAGGGACGACACAGUAGGACAACCUAAGCACAAGGUUGGGUAGUGGUGCCCAACAAUGCAGGCAGACAUAGUAUGAAAGACGGCUAUGAUAAUGCACGGGUGUGAGAGGGGACCG
rnacentral:rRNA from 1 species